CAGAGACACCUCUGCCCCAGCCCAGAAGUGCAGGCCACUGAGCCCGACUGUCCCCUCUGGAGCUGUCCUCGCCCAGCACCCGUUUCUGCCUGGAGGAGUGAAGGAGGACCUGAGCUCUGUUCCUGACUGAUGGACGCCUGAGGUGGGCAGUGCAGGCCCCGGCUGGCAGCUGCCACCGACCAGGACCAGGCAGCGAGGUGCUGGGCGGGGACAGUUUGACUUCCUCCUUUCCAGUUUGGAUGAUUUUUAUUUCUUUGGCUCUCGCUAGGAGUUCAGCACUAUAUUGAAUAAGCUCACACCUACGGGGAGUCAGCUUGCGUUGCCUGUUCAUCAGAAGAAAAGAAGAUGAACUGUGAAGGGAACCAGGCUGAGGAGCAGUCUCGAGGGCACGCAGGACCUCACCACAGGGCCUCUGUGUGCCACCUUCGACAGCGGACACAGGACCUGCACAGAAAGCCUUGGCCCCUUGCGGGCUCGGUGAGUGGCACAGUGGGGGAGCCCCAGUGCUUUGUCACAUGGGGCCUUCAAGGACAGCCAGGAGCUG
ensembl:lncRNA